UAACUUCUAAUUUCUAACUUCGAAUUAAAAUCUGAUUUCAUAUAUUCUCAUUAAGGACCUUAUACUUUCUUUUUCUAACAUAAUUUAAUAAAAAAUUUAGCAUUUGUUCAAGUUGGUCCUUAAUGUAACAAAGUUAACAACAAGCUAAAUUAACCUUACAAACUAGUCCUUUGUAUAUUCUAAGCUUAAAAUCUAUCAAUUUCAAGCAUAAUUCUUCAAGAAAUCAACAAUGACAACUUUCUAAAACUUCAAUAGUUUUACAAAUUAGUACAUGGGCUAGCUAAAUUAAUCUCCCAUGAUCCCAAAUCUAUAAAAAUUGCAAAAAAGAAAAAAGGCUUGAAUUUACCUUCCAAAUGUUGGUCGAAUGUUAAAAAUGGUUCCUCAGGUUUUC
rnacentral:lncRNA from 1 species